UGCGCUUUUAACUGCUUGUGGUUGACUGGCAGCUCGAGCGAGCUCUGUGUAUUCCAACCCGGCGUUAAGAACCCUUCAUUAGCUUUUCUUCCCGACGCUGCUUAUUUAUCUAUCGGUAGCAUGACGGGUAAUUGACGCCCUCGGAUGGCUUUGAGGUCGCCAUUUUUGGUUGGUGCCUUUGUCAUGGUGUCAGGACUGGGAUAUCAUCUGGGACACAUUACCCCACAGGUAUCCUGUUGGACCUCAACGAGGAAGUUGGCAACAGAGGAACCAGGAGAUGAGAGAGAUCGAUACCUACAGCCUCUGAGAGCCGGUAUUCCAACGCCACAAGACGCCUUAUGUCGUGAGCAGUUGACAACAGAGACCCAGCACUUACUGCAACCGGAAGGAGCAGUUCCUCCCUCGCUCGCGCAGCCGCUCUUCCCCGCCACUCCCUGGGUGCCUGCCAGCACCUUCCCAGCAAGCCCUGCGUAUAUUUGCAUAUCAACUCACGUCUUUUUCUUCUAACUAAAAAUCGAAAGCACAAAUUCUAGAUUCUCCUUGUGAAGUCUUCCUUUCACUUCAGAAGAAAUGGAAUUCGCUCUUCAACUUCAGGAAGUUGAAAUAAAGAGUUGCUUGGA
rnacentral:lncRNA from 1 species